rnacentral:lncRNA from 1 species
CGGAGAUUCUUGACCACUUCUCCGUCAAACCCGGUUCCGCGGAAGCCGAGGCGAUGAAGACGACGCUUCAGGAUUGCGAGGAACCGGCGGUGAGGGGAGAGAGGAAGUACUGCGCCACCUCGCUGGAGUCCAUGGUGGAGUUCAGCAUGUCGAGCCUGGGGACACGCGACGUCACGGCGAUGUCAACCACCGUCGCCAAAGUGGUGACGCCGCGGCAGCAGUACACGGUCACGGGGGUGAAGGCGCUGCCCGGGGACAGGCUGGUGGCUUGCCACCCGGAGGCGUACGCGUACGCGGUGUUCUACUGCCACGCCACGGCGACGAGCAAGGCUUACAGAGUGGGGCUGGUGGGAACGGCGGACGGAGUGGUGGUGGAGGCCGUGGCGGUGUGCCACACCGACACCAGUGCGUGGAACCCCAACCACGUGGCCUUCAAGGUGCUCAAGGUGAAGCCGGGGUCGGUGCCGGUGUGCCACUUCCUGCCGGAUGACAGCGUCGUCUGGAGCCGCAGCGGUUAAGGUAGAGCAUGCCCCUCGCCGUGUUCACUACCGAAGCCUCUAUAUAUAUGCUGUGUGUGUUCGUAUGUGUGCAAGCGAGAGCUCAAUCUGUAUCCUUUACUUUGUCUACGUACGCAUGGAGUGUUGAGUUGCUUAUGUUUGUUUCGCUGGUAGGUGUUGCAGACAUAGGUGCACUGUAUACUUUGUUAUAUAUUAAGUUUGACUAUAUAUUGUAAUUAUGGUGUUGAGACUAUGAUAAGUUUGACUGUGUCUCAGCUUGACGUGAAAUGGUGGCUUUGGUGCAAUAGCUGAUGUCUAAUCUUUAAUAUUUAUUAUCAUUCUCGCUAUGAUUUAGUUCCACAUCAAAAUUAUAAGGGUUGAUGGUAUGAGCAUUUCAAGAGGGUUUCAAAUUCCAGUCAAGUGGUUAUCCAUCUCCACAUUCCGCAGAAUGACUCCCGAGUGUUGUUCUGUUUGUAUCAAUUUCCAAAGGAAGAAGAUGUGACACUGCAUCAUCUCUCUGUGUCCUCGGAGCCAAGCUUGACGAAGGUGCAUUGCAGGAGCACAUACGACGACACAAUUAUCAGAGAGGACUUCAUUGUGCUAAGUGAACGGAAGUAUGAAGUGACAGAACGAAGAUUCUCGAUAGGACAUACGAGUUAUGGAGACAGGAAUACAUAGAAUAGAAUUAAAUCUUUCGAUGAUUCCAAUUAUUAUGGUAUUACAUACCUUCCUCUACCUUGAUUUGGACAGUAAAUCCAAAUUUAAAUUAUUAAAUAAAAAGAGAAAAAGGAAUGAGACGUGCGCGCAGCGAGGGAACAGUGCUGGCGUGAUAAAGAAAAAUAUUGAGAAAAGGAGAAAAAGUUAAGGUUUUUGCUACGUGAUCUAGCGAUUUACAGUUUAUUUUUUCUAAUAUGUUUUCUUGUUACCAGACUUAAAAUUCUUUGUUACAAAAUUUAUUUAUGGUGACGAUGAUAUAUUAAUAUUGAAGUUAUUGUGAUCCUUUUAUUAUUCUAAAGAAGAUUUCCUAUAAACUUGUUAUCAAUAUUGGUGAUAGUGAAAGUUUGAGGUGGAUUACAGUCCCGUAGUUUUUUUCGUAUUGUGUUUUUCACGUAAAAAUUCAAUGUCUCACUUGUAAUUGAUUUAUUGUUUUACUAUUUAUGUUGCUCUGGUUAAUAUUUAUAUUUUGAUAAUAAGUUAGUUUUUGAUGAAGAACUCAUUUUGAUAUACAAAGAGAUAAAAGAAUUAUUCCGCUAUAAUAGUUUUUCCCAUCUAGUGGUAUCAGAGUAACAUCUUAUUUGGUAUUAGUUUUUCUUAUGUGAUUAAAAUGGAUGAGUCAGAUAGUAUGAUUAAAUUGAACUCAUCAAAUUAUUCCACUUAGAGGCAUAUGAUAAAAGAUUUGUUCUAUUGCAAACAUUUGUAUAAGCCCAUCAAGGUUAAAUAUAAACCUUCUAUUAUAGAAGAUAUGAAAUGAGUGGUUCUAAAUAGAAAACCUAUUGCUUAUAUUAGAAGAUGAAUAUAAAUUUGCAUGAACAUAUUUCUGAUGAAACCAAAGGUGAUGUUGUUUGGCAAAGAUUAGAAAACCUGACAAAGACAGUGAGAAAUAGAAUUUCUUUCAUCGGAAGAUUUGUAAAUUUAAAGUAUAAAGAUGGUUGUAAUAUUGUUAAGCAUAUAAGCCUAUUUUAGAGUCUUGAAAAUAAGUUGGUUGCUAUGAAAAUGAAUAUAAAUGAUGAGAUGCAAGGAUUAUUACUUCUCAGCUCUUUAUCAAAAAGUUAGGAAAGAUAUGUGGUGACGAUUUGUAACUCCACACUAGAGGGGACUCUAACUAUAGAUAUAGUUAAAGACAGUUUGCUAAAUAAAUAUUCUAGAAAGAAAGAAUAGGAAGAAUAUUCUUUUGUAACAGGCUAGGUCACAUGAAGAAAAAGUAUAUGUUUUAGAAGCGAAAACAGAAUUAAUGGAAGAAAAAUGAGAAAGAGACCAAUACUACUGAAGGUGAUAUCAUUAUUGUUUGUAACAACAGUUAUGUCAGUCUUGCAGCUCAUGAUAGUAACUGGGUAAUUGACUCUGGUGCUUUAUUUCACGUUACUUCUUAUGAUGAUUUCUUCAUAUCUUACACUGUUGGUGAGUUUGAUAAUAUUAGAAUGGGAAACAAUAGUACGUCUAAGAUUAUGAGUAUUGUAGAUAUUUUCUUAGAGACCAGUAUUGGGAGCAAAUUGAUACUCAAAGAUGUUAGACAUGUUCUAGAUAUUCGUCUUAACUUAAUAUCUACAGGUAGACUUGAUGAUAAGGGAUUUAUACACUAUUUUGAUGAAGAUAAAUGGAAACUCAUUAAAGUUCUCUAAUUGUAGCAAGAGGAAAUGAGCUUAACUCUUUUUUAUGUCAUUAUGUCAUGCAAGCUAAGCUACACAAAGGAGAAAUUCAUGUAAUUCAGAAAGAUGAAAGUAUAGAUCUUUGGAACAAGAGGCUUAGCCAUAUCAACGAGAAGGGACUUCAAACUAUUGCUAGAAAACAGUUUUUACCAAAGUUGCAAGGUACAUCUCUUAAAUCUUGUAAUUAUUGCUUAGUUGAAAAAACACAUAGAGUUGCUUUUCAUAAAUAUCUAUCAUUUAGAAAAUCAAAUGUUAUUGAUUUGAUUCAUAUUGAUUUUUGUACUAUACAAACUAUAACUCUUUGAGGUGUUCUUUAUUUUAUUAUUUUCAUUGAUGACUAUUUUAAAAAAAUAUGAGCUUUUGUUUUAAAUCGAAAGAUCAAGUACUCGAUAUUUUCAAAGAGUUUCAUGAAAGAAAAAUUAGCAAAAAGCUAAAGUAUGUUCGAGCAGGUAAUGGUGGUGAGUACAGGGUCCUUUUGAGAAUUAUUACAGAUUUCAGGGUAUCAAGUUUAAAAAAAUAGUUCCUAAAACUUCUCAACAGAACGGUGUGAUAGAAAGGAUGAACAAAAUCAUUGAAGAAAGAAUUAAGUGUAUGCAAGUUACUUAAGUCAUUUUGGGAAGAGGCUAUGAGAACUAUAGUUGACCUAAUAAAUCUUCUCUAUCAAUUCCUCCGAAAAAUUAUGUUCCAGAGAAAGUAUAGAAAGGAAAAGAUAUAUUUUAUAAUUACUUAAGAGUGUUUGGGUGUAAAGUAUUUGUUCAUAUUCCUAAAGAUGAGAGGUUAAAGCUUGAUAAUAAGGUAAAAGCAUGUAUCUUCUUGGAAUAUGGUCAUGAAGAGUUUGGGUAUAGAUUAUAGGAUCCAAUGAACAAAAAGAUUUUUAGAAGCAGAGAUGGUAGUUUGGGUAUAAUUUUUUUUUUUUACUCUGAUUAAUAUUUAAAUUUUGGUAACAAGUUAGUUUUUGACGAAAAAUUUGUCCGUUAUAACAAUUUUUCUCAACAAUUCUCUGCGACAAUCCAACAUUAAGAAAAUAGCUUUUCACCUGCUGGUCUUUUUCUUUCUGUGUUGGUAGCUUCCUCUUCCUAUUUCUGUGUCCGAGAGACAUUGAAUGAACACAGCAACAUAGCUCCUCGAUAAGAGCUCAACUUUAAGUUGUCAUUCUUGGAGAUGAUGGAGCAUGUUUCGAUUACCCCAACAUUGAGGAGUGCCUCUAUCAUCAAGCCAAUCAACUCCACAUGUCUUCAUUCACGCACAAGCUAGAAGGCGAUAUGGAAACUAGAUGAGAUGUUUGGUAGACAAAAUAUUUUCUUCAUCAUUUGAUAGAUCUGCCGAACUGCAACUUUAUUACGGCAGUUGGCAGAUCAAAGGCUAUUCAAUCAAUAUCUCAAACCUGCCUUACCUCUCCUUCAGCUCACAGUUGCCGUCCAAGAUUAGCUUGUCAGGAAUGGUGACAACGCAUGUAGAAAAACGUCGAGAAGGAGAGAGCCACCAGUUUCAUGUAGGUAGAGUGCAUGAACCUCCAAAACUAGAGAUCAAUUAAUACAAAUAUAUCCCUAUAUAUGUCAAGAUUGAUUAUUCUUUCAUACGAGCGAGCCAAACUGGUCCAACACCUGUAACUAAUAUUAAAUGUUAAGUAAAUAUUAUCAUAUUUUGAUAAUCUUAGAAUAACUAAUACACAUCCAGACUUUAUGAUAGAAAUCGAGCUACUGCAUAUUGGCCAUAUGAACAACGCUACAACAUUUAUGUUGAGUUCAAAUCGAUGUUUAAUUUCUUGGUCCGACGAAUUGACAAAGGGAAACCAAAGUUUGACUUGUUUGUGCUAAUUUCCCUACCUUCACUUGACGUGGGUGUGUAUUCUGCUGUCGGCGUCCAGACAGGGUUCACGGAUUUGUCAACCACGACAAGAUGAGCGGAUCUUCGCGUGUCCCCACUGAUGCCCGUCCGUUUCAUUUUUGUGGAAAUACUAAGCUGAAUCCUGUUCGGGAUCAAACACACGAGCUGCAUCGUCAGGCCUUCGUACAUGGCGUCAUUUUCCGUCGAUAUGUGCCAUCAAGGCGAGCAUGGAGGAGGGCGGCGUCUGCGUCCAUCCGAACGGCACUCACUAAUGCGAUCCGUGGACGGUUGAGGCGAUCCGACAUUAAUGCCAGUUGCUGUUGCUCUCCCCGCCUCCCACCCUCUCGUUCUCUCCCUUCUAUAAAACCCUCGCCGGUUUUCUUCUCAUCGUCGCCGGCGACGUCUGUGUUUGGUCUGUUGUUGGUUCCAUGGAUCGCUUACUUUGUCUUCUUUCCUUCCUACUGGUAAGUAGGACGAGCUUUAGUUCUCUAAGUCUCGAAUUUACUUAAGCUUCCUUCACUUAAUCCUCUUCCUUAUCUUCUGUUCUGUUUCAGCUUGCUACAGUUAGCCAUGCAGCUUUAUCCCCUCAGCUGGUUUACUGGCACUCUGUCCUCCCCAACACUCCCAUGCCAAGUGCCAUCAGUGAUUUUAUAGACCCUGGUCUCUCUCUCUCUCNNNNNNNNNNNNNNNNNNNNCGUCGUCUCUCUCUCUCUCUCUCUCUCUCUCUCUCUCUCUCUCUCUCUCAAGCUGCUAAAUGCUUGGUCUUCCGAUCGCAGAUGUGCUUGCUGAGGACAAGUCCGGUGUGAACGUGUACGUCAAGGGGAAGAGCGGUGGCACCACCGUCAACGUCGGCCAUGGCGGUGUUCAUGUGGGCACCGGGAAGCCCGGCGGGGGCGGCACCAACGUGAACGUCGGGCAUGGCGGCGUCCACGUGAACACUGGCCACAAGGGAAAGCCGCGGGUGGCCGUCACUGUGCCCUCCAGUAAAGAUUUUAUUUACAAUUAUGCUGCCACCGAGACCCAAAUCCAUGACGACCCCAACGUCGCACUCUUCUUCCUGGAGGAGGAGCUUCGGUCAGGCGCCAAAAUGAAUCUACACUUCACGAAGACCACCUCGGGCGGCGCUUCUUUCCUCACUCAGAAAGAAGCAGACGCCAUCCCCUUCUCAUCAGCCAAGCUACCGGAGAUUCUUGACCACUUCUCCGUCAAACCCGGUUCGGCGGAAGCCGAGGCGCUGAAGACGACGCUUCAGGAGUGCGAGGAACCGGCGGUGAAGGGAGAGAGGAAGUACUGCGCCACCUCGCUGGAGUCCAUGGUGGAGUUCAGCAUGUCGAGCCUGGGGACACGCGACGUCACGGCUGUGUCGACCACCGUCGCCAAAGCGGUGACGCCGCGGCAGCAGUACACGGUCACGGGGGUGAAGGCGCUGGUCGGGGACAGGCUGGUGGCUUGCCACCCGGAGGCGUACGCGUACGCGGUGUUCUACUGCCACGCCACGGCGACGAGCAAGGCGUACACGGUAGGGCUGCUGGGGGUAGACGGCGUGGGGGCGGAGGCGGUGG